AACGAACGCUGGCGGCAGGUCUUAGGCAUGCAAGUCGAACGGGUGUAGUAAUACACCAGUGGCGAACGAGUGAGUAACGCGUGGGAAUCUGCCCAUCUCUGGGGUAUAACGUUUGGAAACGAACGCUAAUACCGCAUACGCCCGCAAGGGGAAAGAUUUAUCGGAGAUGGAUGAGCCCGCGUUGGAUUAGUUAGUUGGUGGGGUAACGGCCUACCAAGGCGAUGAUCCAUAGCUGGUCUGAGAGGACGAUCAGCCACGCUGGAACUGAGAUACGGUCCAGACUCAUACGGGAGGCAGCAGGUAAGAAUAUUGGACAAUGGAGGAAACUCUAACCCGGCCAUGCCGCGUGAAUGAAGAAGGCCGUCGGGUUGUAAAGUUCUUUUAGUCGUGACGAUGAUGACGGUAGCGACAGAAAAAGCACCGGCUAACUUCGUGCCAGCCGCCGCGGUAA
rnacentral:rRNA from 1 species